UUUUACCCCUCAUGAAGUUGCAGAGCAUGAGUCUAGGUCUGUGCAGGUGAAUUAAAACAUCCCAAGUCCGCUCAGGAUCACUAUCCUCGGGUGAAUUAUCAUGAUGAUAUCAUGAUUUUUAAAAUAAGCUCAGGCCAAGAUCUUAGGCCUUAUCAUAGCCAGAUGACUGGGAAGGGUGGAGAUUAAUUGAUGUAUUUGAGCUGAAAAUGACACUUGCGGCCAUCCAGUCUGCCAGCUUUCAGGCUGUUUGGGGGACAUCUAUUCACAGAAUCCCAAUUUUUAGACAAAGAAAAUGGAAUUCUGUAGGUAAACCAGGAGCGAGGCCAGGAAUCUCACCUGCUCCUCAACCCCUCCCUAUGAAGCAGAAGGGCAGUGCCUGGGGAAGCUGUCUCUAGACACACAGUGGUAGCCAUCGUAAUAAUAGUCAGUGUGUGCUUCCUGUUUGCCAGCACGAUGCAGAUUAUUCGAUACCCUUAGUUUAUCUCAUUCACAAAUCCUUGUGAGAUCUUAUUUUUAUCUCAAAUUUAUGAAGAAACUGAAAGCAUAAAUAAAAAUGCCAAGUAACGCAAGGAGGGGCUCAGCUGGGAUUCGCACUCACUAUCAGGUGACGCCACCUUGUUUUUUAGUGAAGAAGCGGAGCCCAGAUUGGGUGGCUUGUCAAGGUGCGUUGUGAUCCAGUUAGUGGUGGAACUCAGCCCGCAAUGACUUCCUCAUGUCGCCAUCUUGCAAGGUUCUUCCAGCCUCUCCUUCGCCAAGGAACCGGCCUGUGCUUGUGCCUGCUCUAUGUCCUUCGUCCGGCUGAAUCCUGCAGUGCUGUGUUUGCUGUGUGGUCUGGAGACCGUAUUCCCAUGCAUUUGUGUGUUGUUACAGAUAUGUGUUCAUCAAGUUUUCUACUACUUUCUAGGCCAGCUGCAUAUCACUUGUUCCCAUUCGAUGCUUUGAACUGCAGAAGUUUCACUUCAUAAGAACACUCUGCGGUAAGUGGUUUUGUGCAGUUGAUCCACUGAGCAGGUAAGCACUGAUUUUAUAACACUGGUGUUUUAGAGGUUUUUUGCAGAGUUUUCUUCUUCUGAUGAUGUGAAUGUUGUUCAUGAGCCACAGGAUAUCCUAGCUGUAGGAGGGCAAGAGACUUGAAAAAUCUCAUGUGUAUAUGUCACUAUUGGCAAACAGCAUUUCAUAGUGGCAAUAGGAGGGUCCCAAUUUUUGUUUAGCUUCAUGCCUGGGAAGAAGCAAUAGUAAAGCAACCUUUGGCCAAAGGAAAAGUUAUAAGGUCCACAGAACAUGUCAAAAGUCAAGGGCAAGAAGUCUCAUAGUUUCUUAUAAAAUUAAACCUAUACCUUUUCCAUAAUUCACUAAAGCCACUGGUUUAUUUACACAAGAUAAAUUAACUUGAGUAUUUAUUCAAAAUAAAUAAAAAUGUAUGUCCACCAAAAUGCUUUUACAAGAAUGCCCAUAGUAACUAACUUUUAUUCAUAGUAACCCAAGAUGGGAAAUUUCCAUCAACAGAAGAAUGGAUAAAUAAAUUAUGUUAUAUUUACAUAAUGGCUUACUUACUACUCAAAUAUAAAAGGAAACAAACUGUAGCUAUAUGUAAUAUCAUGGGUGACUUUUACAGCAAUGAUGUGUGUGAAAGAAACCAGAUGCAAAUGAGUACAUAUGGUAUGAUUCCAUUUAUGUAAAGUUCUAAACCACACAAAACCAAUCCUUAAGGAUAAAAAUCAGAUGAGUAUCGCCUCUGGUGGGGAGGGGAAGGAUUGACUGAGAAACAGCAUGAAGGAACUUUCUAGGGUGAGGGAACUGUUCUAUAUCUUCAUAGAGUGUGGGAAACAUGGGAUUUAUAUUUGUCAAAACUCAUCAAAACCUCUUGUGACAAAAAUUCUAGAUUUUGCAUUUCACGCAACAUAAAAUGUACCUCAAAAAUUAACAAAAUCAGGGGAAGGAUACAAGAUGGCUGAAUAGGAACAGCUCUGGAGUGCAGUUCCCAGCAAGAACAACGCAGAGGGACAGAGCACCUGGGAAAGGAGGCGGUUAUGAGUUCUGCUGCAGCAGACAUAAAAGUACCUGCUCAGCAGCUCUGCAAAGAACAAUGGAGCUCCCAGCACAGCACUCGAGCUCCUAUAAGGGACAGACUAUCUCCUCAAGCAGCUCCCCAACCCCCAUAUACACAAAGAGACACCUCAUAAAGGAGAGCUCAGGCUGACAUCUGGUAGGUACCCUUGUGGGACAAAGAUAACAGAAGAAGAAACCAGCAGCAACCCUUACUGUUCUGCAGCCCCCACAGGUGAUCCCCAGGUAAACAGGGUCUGGAGUGGACCUCCAGCAGUCCUGCAGCAGAGGGGCCUGAUUGUUAGAAGGAAAACUAAGAAACAGAAAGAAAUAACUUAAUCAUCAACAAAAAGGACAUCUACUCAGAGACCCCAUCCAAAAGUCACCAACUACAAAGACCACAGGUAGAUAAAGCCACUAAGAUGAAAAGAAACCAGCACAAAAAUGAUGAAAACACCAAAAACCAGAAUACCUUUCCUCCUCCAAAGGAUCCCAACUCCUCACCAGCUAGGGAUCAGAGAUGGAUGGAGAAUGAAUCUGAUGAAUUGACAGAAACAGUCUUCAGAAGGUGGGUAAUAACAAACUUCUCAGAGCUAAAAGAACAUGUGCAAACCCAAUGCAAAGAAACUAGGAACCUAGAAAAAAAGGUUAAAUGAGAUGCUAACUAGAAUAAGCAGCUUAGAGAAGAAUAUAAACCACUUGAUGGAGCUGAAAAACACAGCAUGAGAACUUUGUGAAGCAUACACAAGUGUCAGUAGCCAAAUUGACCAAGCAGAAGAAAGGAUAUCAGAUACUGAAGAUCAACUCAAUGAAAUAAAAUUAGAAGGCAAGAAUAGAGAAAAAAAGAGUGAAAAGAAAUGAACAAAGCCUCCAAGCAAUAUGUGAUUAUGUGAAAAUACCUAAUUUACUUUUGAUAGGUAUACCUGAAUGUGAUGGAGAGAAUGAAUCCAAGCUGGAAAACACUCUUCAGGAUAUUAUCCAGGAGAACUUUCCCAAGCUAGCAAGCCAGGCCACCAUUCAAGUCCAGGAAAAACAGAAAACACCACAAAGAUAUUCCUCAAGAAGAGCAACCCCAAGGCACAUAAUCAUUGAAUUCACCAGGGUUGAAAUGAAGGAAAAAAUGCUAAGGGCAGCCAGAGAGAAAGAUUGGGUUACCCACAAAGGGAAGCCCAUCAGAUUCACAGUGGAUCUCUCCACAGAAACCCUACAAGUGAGAAGAGUGGGGGACCAAUAUUUUACAUCCUUAAAGAAAAAACUUUCAACCUAGAAUUUCAUAUCCAGCCAAACUAAGCUUCAUAAGCAAAGGAGAAAGAAAAUUCUUUAUGGACAAGCAAUUGCUGAGAGAUUUUGUCGCCACCAGCUGUGCCUUACAAGAGCUCCUGAAAGAAGCACUAAACAAGGAAAGGAACAGCCAGUCCCAACCACUCCAAAAAUGUACCAAAUGGUAAAGACCAUCGAUAUAAUGAAAAAAAAAUGCAUCAACUAAUGGGCAAAACAUCCAGCUAACAUCAAAAUGGCAGGAUCAAAUUCACACAUAACAAUAUUAGCCUUAAAUGUAAAUGGGCUAAAUGACCCAGUGAAAAGACAGACUGGCAAACUGAAUAAAAAGUCAAGACCCAUCGGUGUGCUGUAUGCAGGAAACCCAUCUCACAUGCAAGGACACACAUAGGCUCAAAAUAAAGGGAUGGAGGAAGAUUUGUCAAGCAAAUGGAGAGUGCAAAAAUAAGCAAUCCUAGUUGCAAUCCUAGUCUCUGAUAAAAUGGAUUUUAAACCAACAAAGAUCAAAAGAGAUAAAGAAGGACAUGACAUAAUGAUAAAAGGAUCAAUGCAUUCUUUUGCAUUUGCUGAGGAGUGAUUUGAAAAGCUAACCAUCCUAGAUAUAUACUUACCCAAUACCGGAGCACCCAGGUACAUAAAGCAAGUUCUUAAUGACCUACAAAGUGACUUAGACUCCCACACAAAAUAGUUGGAGACCUUAACACUCCACUGUCAAUAUUAGACAGAUCAACGAGACAGAAAAUUAACAAGCAUAUAGAGGACUUGAACUUGGAUCUGGACCAAGCAAACCUAAUAGACAUCUACAGAAAUCUCAACCCCAAAUCCAAAGAAUAUGCAUUCUUCUCAGCACCACAUGGCACCUACUCUAAAACUGACCACAUACUUGGAAGUAAAUCACUCCUCAGCCAAUGCAAAAGAAUGGAAAUCAUAACAAACAGUCUCUCAGACCACAGGGCAAUCAAAUUAGAAAUGUGAAUUAAGAAAUUAACUCAGAACCGCACAGCUUCAUGGAAAGUGAAAAACUGGCUCCUGAAUGUCGACUGGAUACACAAUG
rnacentral:lncRNA from 1 species